AGACCAUGAUGAGGACAACGUUGAAGUAAUUCUUUGUAUCUUUCCCAACCUCAUACAACGAUUUAAAAUCUUGUUGCAUGAAUGACGUGAUAUCAUUCCUCAUUUU
rnacentral:snoRNA from 1 species